CCUACGGGAGGCAGCAGUGGGGAAUAUUGGGCAAUGGGCGCAAGCCUGACCCAGCAACGCCGCGUGAAGGAAGAAGGCUUUCGGGUUGUAAACUUCUUUUCUCAGGGACGAAGAAAGUGACGGUACCUGAGGAAUAAGCCACGGCUAACUACGUGCCAGCAGCCGCGGUAAUACGUAGGUGGCAAGCGUUGUCCGGAUUUACUGGGUGUAAAGGGCGUGUAGCCGGGAAGGCAAGUCAGAUGUGAAAUCUGGAGGCUCAACCUCCAAAUUGCAUUUGACACUGUUUUUCUUGAGUGCUGGAGAGGCAGACGGAAUGCCUUGUGUAGCGGUGAAAUGCGUAGAUAUAAGGAGGAACACCAGUGGCGAAGGCGGUCUGCUGGACAGCAACUGACGGUGAGGCGCGAAAGCGUGGGGAGCAAACAGGAUUAGAUACCCGUGUAGUC
rnacentral:rRNA from 1 species